rnacentral:rRNA from 1 species
AGAGUUUGAUCCUGGCUCAGGAUGAACGCUGGCGGUAUGCCUAACACAUGCAAGUCGUACGAGAGUUUUUAACUCUAGUGGCGGACGGGUGAGUAACACGUGAGAAUCUACCUUUAGGAGGGGGACAACAACUGGAAACGGUUGCUAAUACCCCACAUGCUUUCGAGUGAAAUGAUUUUUUCGCCUAAAGAGGAGCUCGCGGCUGAUUAGCUUGUUGGUAGAGUAAUAGCCUACCAAGGCGACGAUCAGUAUCUGGUUUGAGAGGACGAUCAGACACACUGGAACUGAGACACGGUCCAGACACCUACGGGAGGCAGCAGUGGGGAAUUUUCCGCAAUGGGCGAAAGCCUGACGGAGCAAUACCGCGUGAGGGAUGACUGCCUAUGGGUUGUAAACCUCUUUUUUCAGGGAGGAACAUAAGGACGUG